UACGGGGGGGGCAAGCGUUGUUCGGAAUUACUGGGCGUAAAGGGCUCGUAGGCGGCCAACUAAGUCGGAUGUGAAAUCCCCAGGCUUAACCUGGGAACUGCAUCCGAUACUGGAUGGCUCGAAUCCGGGAGAGGGAUGCAGAAUUCCAGGUGUAGCGGUGAAAUGCGUAGAUAUCUGGAGGAAUACCGGUGGCGAAGGCGGCAUCCUGGACCGGCAUUGACGCUGAUGAGCGAAAGCUAGGGGAGCAAACGGG
rnacentral:rRNA from 1 species